AAGAUUUUAAGUUAAUAAAACUUUUAAUUUUCAAAAUUAAUUAUAUAAAAUAAAUUUAUAAAUCUUA
rnacentral:tRNA from 1 species